rnacentral:rRNA from 1 species
GGACGACGCUGGCGGCGUGCCUAAUACAUGCAAGUCGAGCGCGGGAAGCGGACAAUCACCCUUCGGGGUGUGCGUCCGUGGAACGAGCGGCGGAUGGGUGAGUAUCACGUGGGCAACCUGCCUGUAAGAUUGGGAUAACUCGCGGAAACGUGAGCUAAUACCGAAUGAGGUCUUUCACCGCCUGGUGAAAGGAUGAAAGAUGGCUCUUGAGCUAUCACUUACAGAUGGGCCCGCGGCGCAUUAGCUAGUUGGUGGGGUAAAGGCCUACCAAGGCGACGAUGCGUAGCCGACCUGAGAGGGUGAUCGGCCACACUGGGACUGAGACACGGCCCAGACUCCUACGGGAGGCAGCAGUAGGGAAUCUUCCGCAAUGGACGAAAGUCUGACGGAGCAACGCCGCGUGAAGUGAUGAAGGUCUUCGGAUCGUAAAACUCUGUUGUCAGGGAAGAACAAGUUGUGUUCUAACAGGACAUGACCUUGACGGUACCUGACCAGAAAGCCCCGGCUAACUACGUGCCAGCCGCGGC